AAAAUAAGUUGAAGAAACAGAUGAAGAGAAAGGUGAAAAAGAAAGAUGAAAAAAGUGAGGGAUCAAUGUUGAAAAGGAAGACAAAUUUCUUUCCUGAAAGUGAGCAGAUUCUUGCAACUUUUGUCGCUCCCCGAUUCUUCUCUCCUUUCAUCUCUGUCCCGCUUCUUCUUUCCUUCGACUUUCGCCGCCUUUGUUUUUUAUUUGUGUUUUGUUUUUUUGUCCGUGUUUUGUUAUUUGUGGAUUUUUUUUU
rnacentral:rRNA from 1 species